rnacentral:rRNA from 1 species
UACGUAGGGGGCAAGCGUUGUCCGGAAUCAUUGGGCGUAAAGCGCGUGUAGGCGGCCCGAUAAGUCCGCUGUGAAAGUCCAGGGCUCAACCCUGGGAUGCCGGUGGAUACUGUCGGGCUCGAGUCCGGAAGAGGCGAGUGGAAUUCCUGGUGUAGCGGUGAAAUGCGCAGAUAUCAGGAGGAACACCAAUGGCGAAGGCAGCUCGCUGGGACGUGACUGACGCUGAGGCACGAAAGCGUGGGGAGCAAACAGG